AUUGAACGCUGGCGGCAGGCCUAACACAUGCAAGUCGAGCGGAUGAAGGGAGCUUGCUCCUGGAUUCAGCGGCGGACGGGUGAGUAAUGCCUAGGAAUCUGCCUGGUAGUGGGGGAUAACGUCCUGAAACGGGCGCUAAUACCGCAUACGUCCUGAUGGAGAAAGUGGGGGAUCUUCGGACCUCACGCUAUCAGAUGAGCCUAGGUCGGAUUAGCUAGUUGGUUGGGUAAAGGCCUACCAAGGCGACGAUCCGUAACUGGUCUGAGAGGAUGAUCAGUCACACUGGAACUGAGACACGGUCCAGACUCCUACGGGAGGCAGCAGUGGGGAAUAUUGGACAAUGGGCGAAAGCCUGAUACAGCCAUGCCGCGUGUGUGAAGAAGGUCUUCGGAUUGUAAAGCACUUUAAGUUGGGAGGAAGGGCAGUAAGUUAAUACCUUGCUGUUUUGACGUUACCAACAGAAUAAGCACCGGCUAACUUCGUG
rnacentral:rRNA from 1 species